rnacentral:lncRNA from 1 species
CUGAUAACUUCAGUUGGGGAACAGAUUGGACACUAGCAUUUAGUAAAAUUCACUCCAAGAUUAGAACAUUUUAAAUAUAAAAAUAAGCCUUUUAAUGAAAGAGUGUGUAAAUAGCCCUGGGUACAUCCACAAAACAACGAAAAAGCAUGAUGGCGGGGCUGCGUCUGGGUGGGCCUCCAUAGGCCAUGAGUGCCCAAGCUCAUAGGAAGUUUGAUACAAAAUUUUUUGACUUGUAAAUAAUGCAAUUGAUCUCCCUCUCAACCAGGAACAUUCGAAAGGAGGCUGUAGUACGUAGUAAGGAUUUGGGGGCUCUUUUGAAGUGAUGUGGAUUCUCCUGGCUCUCGUGCAGAGGAUGGUGGAUUUACUAGAAUGAAAGGACAGACAAACCUCCCCCCACCCACAGAGGACACCGGGCUGCUAUUUGAACAGGCUCUCGGGACUCAUGUGGCUUAUCACCAGGAUCAGCCCUGCCAGCACU